rnacentral:rRNA from 1 species
CUAAUACCCAAUGAUAUCUCUAGAAGGCAUCUGAAAGAGAUUAAAGAUUUAUCGGUGAUGGAUGGGGAUGCGUCUGAUUAGCUUGUUGGCGGGGUAACGGCCCACCAAGGCAACGAUCAGUAGGGGUUCUGAGAGGAAGGUCCCCCACAUUGGAACUGAGACACGGUCCAAACUCCUACGGGAGGCAGCAGUGAGGAAUAUUGGUCAAUGGACGAGAGUCUGAACCAGCCAAGUAGCGUGCAGGAUGACGGCCCUAUGGGUUGUAAACUGCUUUUAUAAGGGAAUAAAGUGAGUCUCGUGAGACUUUUUGCACGUACCUUAUGAAUAAGGACCGGCUAAUUCCGUGCCAGCAGCCGCGGUAAUACGGAAGGUCCGGGCGUUAUCCGGAUUUAUUGGGUUUAAAGGGAGCGUAGGCCGGAGAUUAAGCGUGUUGUGAAAUGUAGAUGCUCAACAUCUGAACUGCAGCGCGAACUGGUUUCCUUGAGUACGCACAAAGUGGGCGGAAUUCGUGGUGUAGCGGUGAAAUGCUUAGAUAUCACGAAGAACUCCGAUUGCGAAGGCAGCUCACUGGAGCGCAACUGACGCUGAAGCUCGAAAGUGCGGGUAUCGAACAGGAUUAGAUACCCUGGUAGUCCGCACGGUAAAC